GUCUGCUUGUAGAUAUAAGGAGUCUAUUCUGCUCUCUGAUAAUUAUUUAAGGGCCGCGGUAAUUUGACCGUGCAAAGGUAGCGUAAUAGUUAGUUUUUUAAUUGGAAUCUUGUAUGAAUGGUUGGACAAAAGAAAUACUGUCUCUAUAAUUUUUAUUGAAUUUAACUCUUAAGUGAAAAGGCUUAAAUGUUUUAAAAAGACGAUAAGACCCUAUAAAGCUUUAUAAUUAAUUCUAUUUAACUAAAUUAAUAAAUAAAAUUUUAAUAGAUUAAAUUAUUUUAUUGGGGAGAUAAAAUUAUAAUUUAAAAUAACUGUUUAAAAUUAAUACAAUUAUAUAUGUAUAAUUAAAAUAAUAGAUCCUAUAUAAAGAUUAAAAGUUUAAGUUACUUUAGGGAUAACAGCGUUAUUUUUCUUGAGAGUUCUUAUCGAAAGAAAAGAUUGCGACCUCGAUGUUGAAUUAAAAUUCCUAGAUAAUUGUAGAAGUUAUCGUUUAGUAGGUCUGUUCGACCUUUAAAAUUUUACAUGAUUUGAGUUCAGACCGGCGUGAGCCAGGUUGGUUUCUAUCUUUUAGUGAAAAUUAAAUUAUCUUAGUACGAAAGGAUUAGGUAAUUAAAAUUAUUUUAUAGGUAUGA
rnacentral:rRNA from 1 species